UACGUAGGGUGCAAGCGUUGUCCGGAAUUAUUGGGCGUAAAGAGCUCGUAGGCGGUUUGUCACGUCGGAUGUGAAACCCUGAGGCUCAAUCUCAGGCCUGCAUUCGAUACGGGCAGACUAGAAUUCGGCAGGGGAGACUGGAAUUCCUGGUGUAGCGGUGAAAUGCGCAGAUAUCAGGAGGAACACCGGUGGCGAAGGCGGGUCUCUGGGCCGAUAUUGACGCUGAGGAGCGAAAGCGUGGGGAGCAAACAGG
rnacentral:rRNA from 1 species